rnacentral:misc_RNA from 1 species
CUGCGCGCUUGAGAUACGAAACUGACACCAAGAAUAAGCGGAAACUCUCCGCUGCUCUUCGCGACGCGAAUACGAAGCUGCGCCUCCCUUGAAUUCAGUUCGCCAAUAUGGCGGCGCCCAGCAAAGGUGAUGGUCGCGGCGCGGGCGGUAUAGAAUUGACGAAAGAAUUGCGUGAUCCUUACGUCGUUUUCUAUGACGAAGAUGUGCUCACGCCUUUCCCGGAUGCCCAGCCUCUCUCCAGUCUUGAGGAGUUUGCUGACAAGUACCUGCGCGAUAAAAAGGCGAUGGUCGAAGCGGAGACAGCGCCGGAAGUUCAGGAGGUUCUGCCGGAGGAGCCCGAGGAACGCAGCGGCCGCCUUCGUCGUGGUCCGCGCACCCUGGCCAGCGUGGUGGAGCGCAGCAUGAUGGGAGGCAUGCACACCAAGGGGCCCCUGAGCAUCCUCUACCGAGCAGUGCGCGACCGGCUACGCGUCAAGGUUUGGACGCGUAGCCACACGCGGGUUCGCAGCAUCCUGAUGGGCUUCGUGCACGCCUACGACCGGCACGUCAACCUUGCGCUGGCCGACGUCGACGAGGUGCUGCUGCUGCCGCCGCCGCCAUCUCUACCCACGGCGACAGCGCAGGCAACAGCGGCGACCAGUGCGCCUGCACCGGUGCCGACCCAGCCAGCGCAGCAAGAAGAGGAGGAGGUGGCCAAGCCGAGCGCCCUCGCUGCCGCGCCUACCGUGCUCCCGCUUCCCGCGUGGGCGACUACGUCGAGCAGCACAGACACGGUGCCUGAGGAGGAAGAAUCUUCAUCUGGCUGCCCUACUCCGACCGCAACGACCAGCGGCGACACUUCGUCGUCCGAGGUGCGGCCGAGGAGGGGGAGUCCGCGCCGCAAGGCCGCCUGCAUCCCGUUGGACUCGCUUGAUGUUCAGCCGGAGUCCGACAAAGAUGAGCCGGCUGAACGACCGACCGACCCGAGACCCCCCGCGGCAGAGCCGACGACGCCCGCGGCUCAGAGGAAGCGACCCGCGAGGACCGGUCGGGCCCGACGUCGCGCCGCCGCCCCGACCCUGGCGCCGCGAACGAGGCACGUCAACCAGCUGUUCGUGCGGGGCGAGAACGUCGUCUCCGUCGCCCUGAUGCCCGUCUGACUGCGCGGGACGGAACUAUCGCCCCGUCCGAGGGCGUUUCUUUCCCAAAGAUCGCACACCGUACUAGUCCUUCGUACGGGCAGAUCGAGUCCAGGUGCAUGCAACCCGGCGGAUCUGCGGAGUUGGCCAGCACGUUUGACGACGAGACAACUUCCGUCGUUUCCUGCGCCUGGCGUUCCCCGGCCACGACGGGCGCUGGUUGCAUCACCGUCACUGCCGGCAACAAACGACCGUCCGGUAUAUCCGUGUGACACAGGUGCCCGGAUUCCGACACCCUUCGUGGACCGCAUCGCGCUCUCACACUUGGGAAACGCUCCCUGAAGAAGAAAGAGGACCCGCGGUGGCCCGCAGUGCGCCUGUGCUUCGGUCACCACCGUUCGCCCUCCUGGUGGCCGGCCGUGGGACGCGAACGAAGCCAGCGAAACCGGAGGUUGCCUCGCCCUUCGAAUUCCGCAGCAGGGCCACCGUGGCGGCAUCCGUCCUAUAACUACGGACUUCGUUCUAUGUUUGGUGACGCAGCGCAGUGCCAAAUACACCGCUGCAGCCCACCUCGAGAUGAUUUGCACUGAUGCACCAUCCAAUUAUUUAAUUGACGUCGUGGUUGAGACGAACUUCUUUCACUAUAUCGGCGUCUUUCGGGAACAAAGUUUUGGAGCGCCGAGCCUUAGAAGACGUGCGCACUGUGGGUUGUGCGGUUUUGUGUUUAUGGGCGGAGCUUGUACAGAAUUCUCAGCUUGUCACUCAGUGCAUACAUCUUCGUAUGGAACUCUGCGCCGUAGAAAUGCAUCGGCCUUCAGACUCGGGAGUCGACUUGCAAGCGCUGCGUGGUGAUAGUGAUGAUUGCGUUGUGAACGUACAAUAAUUUUGUGCACGUUGUAUCUAACAACGUGACGGCUUGCUGCAAUGUAGAGAAGCUUGCCUGCAGGAAGGACUUCACGCUCGCGCAUUAUACGGAGCGUCCCCUCUCCGGUUAUGCCCGAUGGUUGUAGAAAUUUCAGUCCAGAGCCCCCGAAGCAUGGAACUAGUUUCUUCAAAGCUAACUGCAAAAGCUUAAGGUCAUGAGAAACACACAGAUCUAUCUCACAAGCCUCGUUAGGAGGACAACUUUAGUUGCCAAUAUG